rnacentral:rRNA from 1 species
UACGUAGGGUGCAAGCGUUGUCCGGAAUUACUGGGCGUAAAGCGCUCGUAGGCGGUUUGUCGCGUCGGAUGUGAAAAUCCAGGGCUCAACUCUGGACCUGCAUUCGAUACGGGCAGACUAGAGUUCGGUAGGGGAGACUGGAAUUCCUGGUGUAGCGGUGAAAUGCGCAGAUAUCAGGAGGAACACCGGUGGCGAAGGCGGGUCUCUGGGCCGAAACUGACGCUGAGGAGCGAAAGCGUGGGGAGCAAACAGG